rnacentral:rRNA from 1 species
AUUGACCGCUGGCGGCAGGCCUAACACAUGCAAGUCGAACGGAGUGGCGAACGGGUGAGUAACACGUGGGUGACCUACCCUGCACGUCGGGAUAAGCCUGGGACACUGUGUCUAAUACCGGAUAGUGUGGGAUGGGCCAGCGGCCUAUAAGCUUGUUGGUGGGGUAAUGGCCGACCAAGGCGGCGACGGGUAGCCGGCCUGAGAGGGUGGACGGCCACAUUGGGACUGAGACACGGCCCAGACUCAUACGGGAGGCAGCAGUGGGGAAGAUUGCACAAUGGGCGGAAGCCUGAUGCAGCGACGCCGCGUGGGGGAUGACGGCCUUCGGGUUGUAAACUCCUUUCACCAUCGACGCGGUAGAUGGAGAAGAAGCACCGGCUAACUACGUGCCAGCAGCCGCGGUAAUAC